GCUUACGGCCAUACCACCUUAGGCACGCCCGAUCUCGUCUGAUCUCGGAAGCUAAGCUGGGUAGGGCCUGGUUAGUACUUGGAUGGGUGACCGCCUGGGAAUACCAGGUGCUGUAAGCA
rnacentral:rRNA from 1 species